rnacentral:rRNA from 1 species
AGCGAACGCUGGCGGCAGGCCUAACACAUGCAAGUCGAACGAACCCUUCGGGGUUAGUGGCGGACGGGUGUGUAACACGUGGGAACGUGCCUUUAGGUUCGGAAUAACUCAGGGAAACUUGUGCUAAUACCGAAUGUGCCCUUCGGGGGAAAGAUCUAUCGCCUUUAGAGCGGCCCGCGGCUGAUUAGCUAGUUGGUGAGGUAAUGGCUCACCAAGGCUACGAUCCGUAGCUGGUCUGAGAGGAUGACCAGCCACAUUGGGACUGAGACACGGCCCAAACUCCUACGGGAGGCAGCAGUGGGGAAUCUUGCGCAAUGGGCGAAAGCCUGACGCAGCCAUGCCGCGUGGAUGAUGAAGGUCUUAGGAUUGUAAAAUCCUUUCACCGGUGAAGAUAAUGACUGUAGCCGGAGAAGAAGCCCCGGCUAACUUCGUGCCAGCAGCCGCGGUAACAC